UGCCUAAACCGCGCUUAUACGCACGGCAUGGCUAAAAAAGACCCAAGGAUGAUACUGAACCCCGCGUUCAGCGACUCAUCCUUGGGCUAUAUUGGGAAACCGGUAUAGGGUCGCAAGACCU
rnacentral:sRNA from 1 species